GAUGAAGAACGUAGCGAAAUGCGAUAAGUAAUGUGAAUUGCAGAAUUCAGUGAAUCAUCGAAUCUUUGAACGCACCUUGCGCCCUUUGGCCAUUCCGAAGGGCAUGCCUGUUUGAGUAUCAUGAACACCUCAACUCUUCAUGGUUUUCCAUGAUGAGCUUGGACUUUGCGGGUCUUGCUGGCCUGUGGGUCGGCUCCUCUCAAAUGAAUCAGCUUGCCGGUUUUUGGUGGGCAUCACAGGUGUGAUAACUAUCUACGCUUGUGGUUUUCCACCAGGGUAACCUUCAGCAGUGGAGGUUCACUGGAGCUUACAAAUGUCUCUCCUCUGUGAGGACAGCCCUUUGAAUGUUUGAUCUCAAAUCAGGUAGGACUACCCGCUGAACUUAAGCAUAUCAAUAAGCGGAGGA
rnacentral:misc_RNA from 1 species